rnacentral:rRNA from 1 species
AUUGAACGCUGGCGGCAUGCCUUACACAUGCAAGUCGAACGGUAACAGGUUAAGCUGGCGAGUGGCGAACGGGUGAGUAAUGUAUCGGAACGUGCCCAGUCGUGGGGGAUAACUGCUCGAAAGAGCAGCUAAUACCGCAUACGACCUGAGGGUGAAAGCGGGGGACCGUAAGGCCUCGCGCGAUUGGGGCGGCCGAUAUCAGAUUAGGUAGUUGGUGAGGUAAAGGCUCACCAAGCCGACGAUCUGUAGCUGGUCUGAGAGGACGACCAGCCACACUGGGACUGAGACACGGCCCAGACUCCUACGGGAGGCAGCAGUAGGGAAUUUUGGACAAUGGGCGCAAGCCUGAUCCAGCCAUGCCGCGUGCGGGAAGAGGGCCUUCGGGUUGUAAACCGCUUUUGUCAGGGAAGAAACGGCUCCUUCUAAUACAGGGGGCUAAUGACGGUACCUGAAGAAUAAGCACCGGCUAACUACGUGCCAGCCGCCGCAGUAAAAC